GAGACUAUGCCUUAGGGGAUCAUUUCUAGAGGUCAUUCCUGGAGAAGUUUCUCUGAUCUUGAAGAGUCCUGGAAACCAUGAGGAAGGGGCCCAGAGUUCCCUCCUGAGGGUGAAGGCAGCUCUUGCAACUGCCUUUGCAGUUGAUGACUGUUCUUCUCUCCCCUCAUUUGUGUGAGUGGGGGCAAUGCAGUCUGUGGG
rfam:Ictidomys tridecemlineatus contig017809, whole genome shotgun sequence.